rnacentral:rRNA from 1 species
UUAAGCGACUAAGCGUACACGGUGGAUGCCCUGGCAGUCAGAGGCGAUGAAGGACGUGCUAAUCUGCGAUAAGCGUCGGUGAGGUGAUAUGAACCGUUAUAACCGGCGAUUUCCGAAUGGGGAAACCCAGUGUGAUUCGUCACACUAUCAUUAACUGAAUCCAUAGGUUAAUGAGGCGAACCGGGGGAACUGAAACAUCUAAGUACCCCGAGGAAAAGAAAUCAACCGAGAUUCCCCCAGUAGCGGCGAGCGAACGGGGAGGAGCCCAGAGCCUGAAUCAGUGUGUGUGUUAGUGGAAGCGUCUGGAAAGGCGUGCGAUACAGGGUGACAGCCCCGUACACAAAAAUGCACAUAUUGUGAGCUCGAUGAGUAGGGCGGGACACGUGGUAUCCUGUCUGAAUAUGGGGGGACCAUCCUCCAAGGCUAAAUACUCCUGACUGACCGAUAGUGAACCAGUACCGUGAGGGAAAGGCGAAAAGAACCCCGGCGAGGGGAGUGAAAAAGAACCUGAAACCGUGUACGUACAAGCAGUGGGAGCCUCUUAAUGGGGUGACUGCGUACCUUUUGUAUAAUGGGUCAGCGACUUAUAUUCUGUAGCAAGGUUAACCGAAUAGGGGAGCCGAAGGGAAACCGAGUCUUAACUGGGCGUUAAGUUGCAGGGUAUAGACCCGAAACCCGGUGAUCUAGCCAUGGGCAGGUUGAAGGUUGGGUAACACUAACUGGAGGACCGAACCGACUAAUGUUGAAAAAUUAGCGGAUGACUUGUGGCUGGGGGUGAAAGGCCAAUCAAACCGGGAGAUAGCUGGUUCUCCCCGAAAGCUAUUUAGGUAGCGCCUCGUGAAUUCAUCUCCGGGGGUAGAGCACUGUUUCGGCAAGGGGGUCAUCCCGACUUACCAACCCGAUGCAAACUGCGAAUACCGGAGAAUGUUAUCACGGGAGACACACGGCGGGUGCUAACGUCCGUCGUGAAGAGGGAAACAACCCAGACCGCCAGCUAAGGUCCCAAAGUCAUGGUUAAGUGGGAAACGAUGUGGGAAGGCCCAGACAGCCAGGAUGUUGGCUUAGAAGCAGCCAUCAUUUAAAGAAAGCGUAAUAGCUCACUGGUCGAGUCGGCCUGCGCGGAAGAUGUAACGGGGCUAAACCAUGCACCGAAGCUGCGGCAGCGACACUAUGUGUUGUUGGGUAGGGGAGCGUUCUGUAAGCCUGUGAAGGUGGCCUGUGAGGGUUGCUGGAGGUAUCAGAAGUGCGAAUGCUGACAUAAGUAACGAUAAAGCGGGUGAAAAGCCCGCUCGCCGGAAGACCAAGGGUUCCUGUCCAACGUUAAUCGGGGCAGGGUGAGUCGACCCCUAAGGCGAGGCCGAAAGGCGUAGUCGAUGGGAAACAGGUUAAUAUUCCUGUACUUGGUGUUACUGCGAAGGGGGGACGGAGAAGGCUAUGUUGGCCGGGCGACGGUUGUCCCGGUUUAAGCGUGUAGGCUGGUUUUCCAGGCAAAUCCGGAAAACCAAGGCUGAGGCGUGAUGACGAGGCACUACGGUGCUGAAGCGACAAAUGCCCUGCUUCCAGGAAAAGCCUCUAAGCAUCAGGUAACAUCAAAUCGUACCCCAAACCGACACAGGUGGUCAGGUAGAGAAUACCAAGGCGCUUGAGAGAACUCGGGUGAAGGAACUAGGCAAAAUGGUGCCGUAACUUCGGGAGAAGGCACGCUGAUAUGUAGGUGAAGCGACUUGCUCGUGGAGCUGAAAUCAGUCGAAGAUACCAGCUGGCUGCAACUGUUUAUUAAAAACACAGCACUGUGCAAACACGAAAGUGGACGUAUACGGUGUGACGCCUGCCCGGUGCCGGAAGGUUAAUUGAUGGGGUUAGCGGCAACGCGAAGCUCUUGAUCGAAGCCCCGGUAAACGGCGGCCGUAACUAUAACGGUCCUAAGGUAGCGAAAUUCCUUGUCGGGUAAGUUCCGACCUGCACGAAUGGCGUAAUGAUGGCCAGGCUGUCUCCACCCGAGACUCAGUGAAAUUGAACUCGCUGUGAAGAUGCAGUGUACCCGCGGCAAGACGGAAAGACCCCGUGAACCUUUACUAUAGCUUGACACUGAACAUUGAGCCUUGAUGUGUAGGAUAGGUGGGAGGCUUUGAAGUGUGGACGCCAGUCUGCAUGGAGCCGGCCUUGAAAUACCACCCUUUAAUGUUUGAUGUUCUAACGUGGGCCCCUUACCGGGGUUGCGGACAGUGUCUGGUGGGUAGUUUGACUGGGGCGGUCUCCUCCUAAAGAGUAACGGAGGAGCACGAAGGUUGGCUAAUCCUGGUCGGACAUCAGGAGGUUAGUGCAAUGGCAUAAGCCAGCUUGACUGCGAGCGUGACGGCGCGAGCAGGUGCGAAAGCAGGUCAUAGUGAUCCGGUGGUUCUGAAUGGAAGGGCCAUCGCUCAACGGAUAAAAGGUACUCCGGGGAUAACAGGCUGAUACCGCCCAAGAGUUCAUAUCGACGGCGGUGUUUGGCACCUCGAUGUCGGCUCAUCACAUCCUGGGGCUGAAGUAGGUCCCAAGGGUAUGGCUGUUCGCCAUUUAAAGUGGUACGCGAGCUGGGUUUAGAACGUCGUGAGACAGUUCGGUCCCUAUCUGCCGUGGGCGCUGGAGAACUGAGGGGGGCUGCUCCUAGUACGAGAGGACCGGAGUGGACGCAUCACUGGUGUUCGGGUUGUCAUGCCAAUGGCACUGCCCGGUAGCUAAAUGCGGAAGAGAUAAGUGCUGAAAGCAUCUAAGCACGAAACUUGCCCCGAGAUGAGUUCUCCCUGACCCUUUAAGGGUCCUGAAGGAACGUUGAAGACGACGACGUUGAUAGGCCGGGUGUGUAAGCGCAGCGAUGCGUUGAGCUAACCGGUACUAAUGAACCGUGAGGCUUAACCUU